GAGGUGAUAUUCGAAAAGAUGUUCAUGAUAUUUGAACUCUGUUUGUAUCCGGAGGAGCCAUUCAUGAAGCAAAUUCGAAGGUUAUGCCACGUUGAAGUCCAGGUUUCGAAACCUGUAAAACUUACAAAAGUGAAAACAUGGCACAAAACAGCAACGUUGGGAGCGGUAGCAGCACCAUGACCGGGUCGAAAAAUCAGUUCGGCUGACUGGCAUCAGAAAUGUGGAGUAUUUGUGGGGGUGUCGAUUGUCCGGAAUGGAUUCAGCCUCUCCUGAAGGAUUCAUGGAGGUGAUGCUGAUUAAUUGAACCAACACCGAAGCUGCUCGUGGGUGGUGAAGGUUGUAAAGCAACAGCGACAUGGUGUCUCACUUAAUAAUGAAUUAUACAUUAUUUGAAAAUAAAAUUUUUAAUAAUAAAAUCGUGAAUUGUUUACUCCUGAAAACUCAA